AUUCGUCGUGUUCUCGCGAGGUUGUGACGUUAUAAAGGCGGAAGUCGUUUCGUUUAGUCGUGUUUAAGGUCGGAACGUGUCGUCUCUGUUUUCGUUAAUUAAGCUAAAAACGAGUCUUUUUUUUUUUGCGUUUUAGCCAGAAAAACCCCAAUUGUAUGUAAAACAAGGUGAUAAGCAACCUAAUGAAAUCCGUAGAUGUCGAAACGUGGAGGUGUUGUCAAAUGUGUCAAAAACGUCGAGAUAAGAAUGGCUUCAAGCGUCACUAUAUUUCCCGAGUUCUACGAGAGCGGCUAAUAGGACUCUGAACGCCUCUGGUGCGUUCAGUACCUGCAACACAGUGGCAAUACAGUGCAGGGAGUUUAAAAACGUCUUUCUGGACCUGCUAUGAAGACUUCUUGGCUGGAAAAGGCGGCUGAAACACCACAAGGGGUCUACGUCCAGUACAUCGCCCGAGACCCUAACGAAGCACAAUGAUGAACAUCUACGAGUGUGAUGUAACGAAAUGGCAAUGAUAAAUUAAUCGUGAAUUCAAUACGAUCGAUUUGUUUGGAUACAGCUUGUAAGAGGAGCAGAGCUGUCCAUGGUGCUGAAAGCUAUUUGUUUGUUCUAAUGACCCAAACAAUGAGUUCACGCUUUCAUAUUUGAGAUUGAAAUAGUGUAACAUAUGUUAUUGGGUACACCUGCACAAAUUAUGCAAUACUUAGUCUUCCUUUGCAAACAUAGUACACAUUUGUUAAAUUGUUUCUACUAUUUGAAUGCAAUGUGGUGAUGUACAACUUUCAAUUGGGUCUGUAAUGGAUCAAAAAAUUAUUCAGAACAUAUGUGUAUGAUGCAGUGCAGUUGUACAGGUGUGCAAACUGUAAAAUUAAACAAAUACCUUGUCUGCCUGCGUCUUUUUGCUUUAGAUUAUGUACUGUAUUGGCUCGUGUAUGUGUACCUAAUGCUAUGUCCCUCGGGAAACUUGCUGUUGUGUGAAAUUUCUUUUUUUGAUUCAUUUUGUGUUUCCCCCAAAUAAAGCAGAUGUCGCACUGCC